CCUGGUGGUUAUGGCGGAGCGGCUGCACCCGAUCCCAUUUCGAACUCGGCCGUGAAACGCUCCAGCGCCAAUGGUACUUUGUCUUAAGACACGGGAGAGUAGGUCGCUGCCAGGU
rnacentral:rRNA from 2 species